UAACGAGCGCAACCUCAUCAUUAGUUACCAUCAGGUAAGGCUGGGGACUCUAAUGAGACUGCCAUCGUAAGAUGUGAGGAAGGUGGGGAUGACGUCAAAUCAGCACGGCCCUUACUCCGGGGCGACACACGUGUUACAAUGGGUGGUACAAAGGGCAGCUACCUGGCGACAGGAUGCUAAUCUCGAAAACCGCUCUCAGUUCGGAUCGGAGUCUGCAACUCGACUCCGUGAAGCUGGAUUCGCUAGUAAUCGCGCAUCAGCCACGGCGCGGUGAAUACGUUCCCGGGCCUU
rnacentral:rRNA from 1 species